CAUAUAGAAGGGUUACAAAGUUAAAUAUUUCCAUGUUUUCCAUUAUAGCUUCUGGUAGUAACUAGAAUUUACCUAAGCCCAGAAGAAUAAAAAGUCACCUGUGUUUUAUUCUGGCUUUAUACUGUUUUCAUUUGUUCUGUUAUAAUUUUUGUAUAAGAAAUCCAGGAAUCUAUUUUGCUUCUGAAGUGGCUGUCCAAUCAGGAUUUACCUUUUACCACUUGGUUGGAGAGGUGGGGGAAGAAGAGACUGGAGGAAAUAGAAGCUGAAGACAGGACUAGAUGUGUCUCCCUCCCCAGCCUCCUUUCUCUGCAGAGGUGGAGGAAUCACGGAAGCUAUCGUGGCUUUAGGUGUUGACUUUUGUCAAUGUUUGCUGAAGCCAGGAGUGAAAUUGAGACAAUAUUCCGAUUCUUGGAACCUGAGUUAGCGUUAAAGGGGAUGACAAACAGGCUGUUGUUAGGAGGUAGUUCCAUGUAAUAGGAAGAGUUUCCACCUCCCUCAGAGGCUGCCUUUCUCGUUUCUCCAAAUGAUUUCGCGGUUGGCCUAAGUUUCCUUUACUUCUCCCUACGAUGGUGUAACAUUAGCUUGAAUGCUGACGCUAUGUGGUGGUGAGCGGCAGUGGGUGUAUCUUGCCCAUAAACCCUUGGAGGACAGUGGAGGACAGGGACUGACCAACUCACCCAAGGGUCCUCUGCAUGCACAUGGUCCCUGCACAUGGCACAUAGUUGGUGCUCAGAAGGCCUUUGCUGGAACAAAGGAAAACACAAGCACCCACAGCAGUGAUGGCUGAUUUUGUCGGGUCUGCAAUGGAGAUUAGUCACCACUAGGUGUCAUGGUGAGUCAAGAAACAUUUUGGCUCAUGGUUACAAAUUAUGCGUUUACUGUAUUCAUCUUCGUGCAUGCACACAUGCAAUGUUUUACAAAGCAUCUGUUGAGUGUCUACGGCACAACACACACGUUCUGGUGCUGGAGAUCCUGCCCUGGCUGAGCUUCUGGACCUGGUGGGGAGAAAUCCACAAUGAGUACUGAGACGACCGGCAAAAGCCCGGUGAAGGCACCUAGGAGUAGGGCCUGCUUACCCUGGAGGAGUCGGGAGCAGCUUCCACAGCAAGGAGGCUUCUAAGGUUUGGAGAACCUCUGGAAUGAUACUCCCAAAAUAUUAUUUUUUAAGAAAUUAUUUUUGGGUGGUGGCCUAUUGGGUAAAUUUUUCCUGAACUUUCUAUUUUGUAUUCUUGUCAUUAUUUGGAUAGUUUUACAGAAACAAAAGUUGUAUUCUGUGAACACAGAGGGAGAAAGAGAAAUAAUAAAAUUAUUUCCCCUUCCACUGAGCUGUAUGCAGCAAGAGUUUGGGGGCAGUGAGGUCCCGGGGUCGGUGGAAAGAGGGGACAGGGAGCCACAGGGCGGGUGCUGAGGUGGACACAGCCUUGGGGAGCACAUUGCCUACUCAGUCCAUGCCCCCAUCACACCCUUUGCCUGCAACGCGCCUCCAGCUCUGGAACUCAUCCUCCACUAACCCGGCACCCACAGGCCAAGCUGUCACGCAAGGAAGCGGCCACGCGAGGGCGUGAUCUACCAGGGAUCCGUGCCUGGGUCUGUGCAUCCUCCCUUCUGCAGCCAGAAGAAACCCCUUUGAAGAAGCGGGUGGAUGACAAGCUUGCAAUACACCGGGGAGGGGAGCAGCAUCCCCAGAGGCUUUUCCAUGCACCCUCUUUCUGAGCAGCUCUGGAUACCCUGGGUCAGCUCCCACACAAAUUGCUCAUAACUCAUUAGUCACCCUUAAAAUUAAUCUCUCCAACAGUGACAUCCUGUACUCAGGCGGUGUCUUAACCCCCUGAAAAUGCCUUCGUGGCAAUGUCCCUGUGGCAUAAGCAUGCCCCAUUUUGCAAGGGAGGGAAUUAAAUUUCAGAGAAGUUAAGCGAUCCAGGGAAUUUCAGUAGCAGAAAUAAGUCUAGAACGGAGAUUACCCAACUUGACUCAAAUGGCAAAACGUUUGUCAUGGGGAAUUUAAUUCUUUAAACCUUUUCGUUGCUUUAUCUCCUUGCUUGGAAUAUUCACCAUCCAUGUGCCCACUAAAUCCUGACUGCUCUGAGACCACGUUCUUCAUGCCAGUCUUAUCUCCCGUGCCUCCUGGGCUUAGGAAUCUGAUGAGCCUGAGUGUGGAUCUGGGUCCUGCCCCCUGACUGUGUGGGGUUACCCGGAUUCCCUGAACUUCGGUCUCCCCUCAUGGAAAAUGGGGAUGGUAUGCCUUCCUACAUGAAGGCGAUCUCAAUAUAGUUACCAGCUGGCGACUAUACAGGCAGUUGUCAGUCAGCCUGUGGGACACAUGGGUGGCUGGAUCAGUCUGGCAGGAGCAGGUGGAGAGAAUUACCAGGUGAUAUGCUGACCCCACGAGGACCAAGGACCGCACUGCUCAAGCCUUCACCUGCCACUUGGCAUUAAAGCCUCUUUACCCUUGUCUCCCCAACCGGACAAUACAUUCCUAGGUGGGAGGGCCCCUGCCUUUCACUGCUGCUGUCUUGGAGCUAGGCAAUGUAAUUUCAUGUAUCAGAUGACGGCUGUCAAGCACUAAGUUUUGUUUGUUCCUUCUGCUGUCUCCUAAGUUCACAAAUAAACAACAGCCCUGAGAAUCCUCAUGGCGGCUUUGGAACCUCGAGCAUCAUAAAGUAUAUUCGGGAGUCCGGAGGGCCUUGGCUCCCUUGUGCUGGCAGGGCAGAAUGAAGCUGGGUGCAUUGUGUGUGCCCCACCAGCACAAGCGCUAGCAUUUGUCUCAAUGCCGGGGAUUCCUGGAGCACCCGCUGUUCUCUAGACGCCCCCUUUACC
rnacentral:lncRNA from 10 species